AUUCUUCCUCAUUUAGUGCAAUUUUUCCCUUUUAAAAAGAGACAAGUAUUGAGAUUAAUAAAUAGGUUUAAAUUACAUGUACAUAGAAACAGAGUUUCCACAGCUCACAAGUAACAUUUAAUGCACAAAAAUGGCAUGGUGCGCGCGCACAUCCAAGUAAUUAGCAAUUAAAUGCAGAUUCCAAAAUUUUCAUGUACACACAAAGUAUAACAAAGAGAAAUGAACACUACUGAACACAGAUAGAGGCUAAUGUGUAGGUUAUACAGAGAAAUGAACACAGCUAGAGGCUAAUGUGUAGGUGAUACAGAGAAAUGAACACUUAUGAACACAGUUAGAGGCUAAUGUGUAGAUUAUACAGAGAAAUGAACACUACUGAACACAGAUAGAGGCUAAUGUGUAGGUUAUACAGAGAAAUGAACACUAAUUAACACAGUUAGAGGCUAAUGUGUAGAUUAUACAGAGAAAUGAACACUACUUAACACAGAUAGAGGCUAAUGUGUAGGUUAUACAGAGAAAUGAACACUAAUUAACACAGCUAGAGGCUAAUGUGUAGAUUAUACAGAGAAAUGAACACUACUGAACACAGAUAGAGGCUAAUGUGUAGGGUAUACAGAGAAAUGAACACUAAUGAACACAGCUAGAGGCUAAUGUGUAGAUUAUACAGAGAAAUGAACACUAAUGAACACAGUUAGAGGCUAAUGGGUAGAUUAUACAGAGAAAUGAACACUAAUGAACACAGUUAGAGGCUAAUGUGUAGGUUAUACAGAGAAAUGAACACUAAUUAACACAGCUAGAGGCUAAUGUGUAGGUUAUACAGAGAAAUUAACACAGCUAGAGGCUAAUGUGUAGAUUAUACAGAGAAAUGAACACUACUGAACACAGAUAGAGGCUAAUGAGUAGGUUAUACAGAGAAAUGAACACAGCUAGAGGCUAAUGUGGAGGUUAUACAGAGAAAUGAACACUAAUGAACACAUCUAGAGGCUAAUGUGUAGGUUAUACAGAGAAAUGAAGACUUAUGAACACAUUUAGAGGCUAAUGUGUAGAUUAUACAGAGAAAUGAACACAGCUAGAGGCUAAUGUGUCGAUUAUACAGAGAAAUGAACACUACUGAACACAGAUAGAGGCUAAUGAGUAGGUUAUACAGAGAAAUGAACACAGCUAGAGGCUAAUGUGUAGGUUAUGUAGUCAAAUUCAGUUAAUGCAAAUACAUCAAAUGAAACAUUUGGUAAGGAUUGUCAAUAUAAUGUCCAAAUUGAUCAGAUCUAGAAUCGUGGUGGCAACAAAACCUCGACUGUACACAAAUGAACAAUAUAUGGUUGUAAAAUGCACUUCUUAUCAUUCCGAUUCCAUAAAUCAUGAUUGUUGCUUCAUACGUCCAAGUACAUUUUUGGUGAGGAUGGAAAAAAA